CGCACAAUUACACAUGACAUGAUGCCUUGCCCCCCUCCCCGCGCCACCAUCUCCGCUACCCCCUCCCGUCGUCUUGCGCUCCGGAUCGAACAUCCCUCCCUCCCGUCUCCUUGUCCUCGCGUAGCCUUCACACUUGCGCAACGUAUCUUUCCUCGGAGCACCGCACCACCACCUCAGUCAGCUGCAAGCUGACUGCGUUAUAUGCUAGAGCUCAUCUUUGCUUGAUCUUGCGAGGACCGAACAGGGGAACGGCCGAUCGGGUCAGCAUGUUUGAAGGGAUGGAGGGGAUGAGCUACGGCGGCGGCGGUGCUGGUGACGGGGCGGCGUCCCGGGACCCGAAGCAGCGGCUGCGGUGGACGCCNN
rnacentral:lncRNA from 1 species